rnacentral:rRNA from 1 species
AACUUUCAACAACGGAUCUCUUGGCUCUCGCAUCGAAGAAGAACGCAGCGAAAUGCGAUAAGUAAUGUGAAUUGCAGAUUUUCAGUGAAUCAUCGAAUCUUUGAACGCA